AUUGAACGCUGGCGGCAUGCCCUACACAUGCAAGUCGAACGGCAGCACGGGAGCUUGCUCCUGGUGGCGAGUGGCGAACGGGUGAGUAAUAUAUCGGAACGUACCCUAGAGUGGGGGAUAACGUAGCGAAAGUUACGCUAAUACCGCAUACGAUCUACGGAUGAAAGUGGGGGAUCGCAAGACCUCAUGCUCAUGGAGUUGCCGAUACCGGAUUAGCUAGUUGGUGGGGUAAAAGCCUACCAAGGCGACGAUCAGUAGCUGGUCUGAGAGGACGAGCAGCCACACUGGAACUGAGACACGGUCCAGACUCCUACGGGAGGCAGCAGUGGGGAAUUUUGGACAAUGGGGGCAACCCUGAUCCAGCAAUGCCGCGUGAGUGAAGAAGGCCUUCGGGUUGUAAAGCUCUUUUGUCAGGGAAGAAACGGUUCAGGCUAAUAUCCUGGGCUAAUGACGGUACCUGAAGAAUAAGCACCGGCUAACUACGUGCCAGCAGCCGCAGUAA
rnacentral:rRNA from 1 species